rnacentral:rRNA from 1 species
UACCAGCACCCCGAGUGGUCGGGACGUUUAUUGGGCCUAAAGCAUCCGUAGCCGGUUCUACAAGUCUUCCGUUAAAUCCAACUGCUUAACAGGUGGGCUGCGGAAGAUACUAUAGAGCUAGGAGGCGGGAGAGGCAAGCGGUACUCGAUGGGUAGGGGUAAAAUCCGUUGAUCCAUUGAAGACCACCAGUGGCGAAGGCGGCUUGCCAGAACGCGCUCGACGGUGAGGGAUGAAAGCUGGGGGAGCAAACCAGG